UCUUAUGGGUGAGCAAAGAAAGUGGUUUCUUGAGGUGGAAUCUACUCCCGGCGAAGAUGCUGUGGA
rnacentral:pre_miRNA from 1 species